AGCGAGCGCUGGCGGCAGGCCUAACACAUGCAAGUCGAACGGUCCUUCGGGACAGUGGCGGACGGGUGAGUAACGCGUGGGAACGUGCCCUUAGGUUCGGAACAACUCAGGGAAACUUGAGCUAAUACCGAAUGUGCCCUACGGGGGAAAGAUUUAUCGCCUUUGGAGCGGCCCGCGUCUGAUUAGCUAGUUGGUGAGGUAAAGGCUCACCAAGGCUACGAUCAGUAGCUGGUCUGAGAGGAUGAUCAGCCACACUGGGACUGAGACACGGCCCAGACUCCUACGGGAGGCAGCAGUGGGGAAUCUUGCGCAAUGGGCGAAAGCCUGACGCAGCCAUGCCGCGUGAAUGAUGAAGGUCUUAGGAUUGUAAAAUUCUUUUCACCGGGGACGAUAAUGACGGUACCCGGAGAAGAAGCCCCGGCUAACUUCGUGCCAGCAGCCGCGGUAAUACGAAGGGGGCUAGCGUUGCUCGGAAUUACUGGGCGUAAAGGGCGCGUAGGCGGACAGUUU
rnacentral:rRNA from 1 species